CUUUUCAAAUAAUUAUUUUUAAACGUGUCACUGUUAUUAAGUUCAUAAACAUCGACUAAAAUAACACUUUUUUGCCAAUAUACGUCGAACAACGGCGAGCUACGUCAAGUGAAGAUGAAAUUAAUAAUUUUUGUAAUUUUCGCUUUGAGUUUUUUUGUUGUGUUAUCUCAAGGAAGACCAUAGGUGCAGAAGUCAUCAAUGUCAUCAAGUUUGCUAGUAGACGAAGAUGGUAACGCUAUUGGCGGCUGUAUUCUCAGGCCUCCCAUUAAAAUACCGUCGGUUUAGUGAAAUAAUUUUUCAAAGUUAAAUGUAUUGAACAAUAAAAGAAUUCAAAAUA